rnacentral:rRNA from 1 species
AUUGAACGCUGGCGGCAUGCUUUACACAUGCAAGUCGAACGGCAGCGCGGGCUUCGGCCUGGCGGCGAGUGGCGAACGGGUGAGUAAUGUAUCGGAACGUGCCCAGUAGUGGGGGAUAGCCCGGCGAAAGCCGGAUUAAUACCGCAUACGACCUGAGGGUGAAAGCGGGGGACCGAAAGGCCUCGCGCUAUUGGAGCGGCCGAUGUCGGAUUAGCUAGUUGGUGGGGUAAAGGCCUACCAAGGCGACGAUCCGUAGCUGGUCUGAGAGGACGACCAGCCACACUGGGACUGAGACACGGCCCAGACUCCUACGGGAGGCAGCAGUGGGGAAUUUUGGACAAUGGGGGCAACCCUGAUCCAGCCAUGCCGCGUGCGGGAAGAAGGCCUUCGGGUUGUAAACCGCUUUUGUUCGGGAAGAAAUCCUCUGGGCUAAUACCCCGGGGGGAUGACGGUACCGGAAGAAUAAGCACCGGCUAACUACGUG